CCUACGGGAGGCAGCAGUGGGGAAUAUUGGGCAAUGGGCGCAAGCCUGACCCAGCAAAGCCGCGUGAAGGACGAAGGCUUUCGGGUUGUAAACUUCUUUUCUCAGUGACGCAGCAAGUGACGGUACCUGAUGAAUAAGCCACGUCUAACAACGUUCCAGCAGCCGCGGUAAUACGUCGGUGGCCAGCGUUAUCCGGAUUUACUGGGUGUAAAGGGCGUAUAGGCGGGACUGCACGUCAGAUGUGAAAGCCACGGGCUCAACCUGUGGCCUGCAUUUGAAACUGUAGUUCUUGAGUACUGGAGAGGCAGACGGAAUGCGUAGUGUAGCGGUGAAAUGCGUAGAUAUUAGGAGGAACACCAGUGGCGAAGGCAGUCUGCUGGACAGCAACUGACGCUGAGGCGCGAAAGCGUGGGGAGCAAACAGGAUGAGAUACCCUGGUAGUC
rnacentral:rRNA from 1 species